CCUACGGGUGGCAGCAGUGGGGAAUAUUGCACAAUGGGGGAAACCCUGAUGCAGCGACGCAGCGUGAGUGAAGAAGGAUCUCGGUACGUAAAGCGCUAUCAGCAGGGAAGAAAAUGAGGGUACCUGACUAAGAAGACCCGGCUAACUACGUGCCAGCAGCCGCGGGAAUACGUAGGGGGCAAGCGUUAUCCGGAUUUACUGGGUGUAAAGGGAGCGGAGACGGCAGAACAAGUCUGGAGUGAAAGCCCGGGGCUUAACCCCGGAACUGCUUUGGAAACUGUGCGGCUGGAGGGCAGGAGGGGUAAGCGGAAUUCCUAGUGUAGCGGUGAAAUGCGUAGAUAUUAGGAGGAACACCGGUGGCGAAGGCGGCUUACUGGACUUUAACUGACGUUGAGGCUCGAAAGCGUGGGGAGCAAACAGGAUUAGAUACCCCAGUAGUC
rnacentral:rRNA from 1 species